rnacentral:rRNA from 1 species
UACGAAGGGUGCAAACGUUGCUCGGAAUCAUUGGGCGUAAAGCGCACGUAGGCGGCCUUGUAAGUCGGAUGUGAAAUCCCACGGCUCAACCGUGGAAGUGCAUCCGAAACUGCGAGGCUCGAGUAUGGAAGAGGGUCGCAGAAUUCCCGGUGUAGAGGUGAAAUUCGUAGAUAUCGGGAGGAAUACCAGUGGCGAAGGCGGCGACCUGGGCCAAUACUGACGCUGAGGUGCGAAAGCGUGGGGAGCAAACAGG